rnacentral:rRNA from 1 species
UACGAAGGGGGCUAGCGUUGCUCGGAAUCACUGGGCGUAAAGCGCACGUAGGCGGAUUGCUAAGUCAGGGGUGAAAUCCUGGAGCUCAACUCCAGAACUGCCUUUGAUACUGGCGACCUUGAGUCCGGGAGAGGUGAGUGGAACUGCGAGUGUAGAGGUGAAAUUCGUAGAUAUUCGCAAGAACACCAGUGGCGAAGGCGGCUCACUGGCCCGGUACUGACGCUG